rnacentral:rRNA from 1 species
AUACGUAUGGGGCAAGCGUUAUCCGGAAUUAUUGGGCGUAAAGAGUGCGUAGGUGGUUACCUAAGCGCAAGGUUUAAUCUUGAGGCUCAACCUCAUUCUGCCUUGCGAACUGGGCUACUUGAGUGCAGGAGGGGAAAGCGGAAUUCCCAGUGUAGCGGUGAAAUGCGUAGAUAUUGGGAAGAACACCGGUGGCGAAGGCGGCUUUCUGGACUGUAACUGACACUGAGGCACGAAAGCGUGGGGAGCAAACAGGAUUAGAUACCCUGGUAGUCCACGCCGUAAACGAUGAGCACUAGUUGUUGGGUACGAAUGUAUUCAGUGACGCAGUUAACGCAAUAAGUGCUCCGCCUGGGGAGUACGGUGGCAACACUAAAACUCAAAGGAAUUGACGGGG